ensembl:lncRNA
CGGUGUUUCGUCUAAUGAUUUUUCUUUUCUGUUCUGUUAGUAACUGAGUGAAACCUUGUAUAAUAUCAUAAUACUGUUGCAGCAUGAUGCAUUACGCACAAGUGUGGUCAGAUCAGCUGGUUCAGCAAAAAGCCAAGAGCUGUUCUAGAGGAAAAGUGUUUGUGCAAGGAGCAACACCAAAUUUCACACUCUAUGUUAUGCUCAUUGGUUUCUGAAUCAUCUUGGUUGACAAGUGGUUGACUUUGCCUGUGAAAACACAGAGGUGCUUCCUGUGUUACUUUUACGCAUCACCACUCUGAGGUGUUGAGUUGAUUUUUAUUCUCCUCUUAGCAGGCUACAGCAAUGGAUACGGCAGUGAGGUUUAUGGCACAGCAGAUGGUUAUGGGGCAGGUGAGUCUGGACUGGAUAGGUACAAAGGAGCAUAUCCUAAUGUCACACUAACAUAUAAGCAAAUUUAUAAACGAGUUAAAAUUAUAAUUAUGUUACAGGACCUGGCUACCCAUCAGUAUUAGCUGAUAACAUUGGCCUGAAUGGUAUAGCUGGUAAGGCUAGAGGUUAUAAGUGUAACUAACAACAUUGCAUUCACACUAAAGAGAGAUACCUAAACUCUGUCCUGUGAUUAUACACAAUAUUGUUCUACUCAAGAUUGUAGAAAAUAACCUCAUCCAUCCUAAUCUGAGUAACUGAAGUAUCUGAACUGCAAUAACUUGAACACUGUGAAAUCAGCUGAUGCCUGUGCAGUUGCUUUUAUACGAGUACUAAGGUAAAGCAAGACUGUAGUUUGCUCCUUGAGUACUAAUGGAAAAUGGUAAACCAAUUCUUUCGCAUACAUUAACUAGAAGCAGCAGCAUCAUCAUGAAAUCACAGAGGUCGGUGUUUGCUCUCUCAGGUCUUGGAGCUGGAGGCCUUGGAGGUCCAGGGCUGGUGGUGAACCCUGGCCUGGGUACUGAUGCCAAGUCGAGAAAGUAUGGGGCUGGUGGAGUUCUUGGAGCUGCCGGAUCCUUGCCUUACGGUGGCCAGCCUGUGGUCUCAGCUGGAGUUGGCCAUCAGGGCAAGACUGGUACUUAUGGUGGAACUACAUACAGAGGAAUACCAACCCUUGGGCCAGACACUGCUUUGGGUACGUGCAUUGCACAUGUUUGUUAUUCAAAUGCAACAUGCAAAUCUCAGUUUUCCGGCUAUCCUGAUGCUUUGCCUGAGGAUUUGACUUUAACACGAAUGUCCCUUGUGAGAAAAAAGAAAAUUUAAACAAGAGAAUAAAGCAUAUUAAUAAACCAAACAUGAUUAUAAAGAUCAGAUAACUCUUAUAAGAAAGAAUGUAAAGAAAUGUCUCCUAUCAGGUGGUACAGGUGGAGCAAUGGAGCCUUUAGCAGGUAAUAUUGUGGAGUUUUAGUAAAUAUAUUUCAAGUCAUUCUUUUAAUAACUAAAUGUUACUGCCACAGGCGGAGCUGUAGGCCAGAUUCCUUACAGCGCACCAGUCAUUGCAGCUGGGCUUGAGGGUAAGUUGGUAAGAACAAGAGAAAUAGAGAACAUCACGUACUCUGAUUGUGACACAGGUGUAAAUGUGUUUACCUGCAGUUGAUGCUGAUUAUGCUUUUGGUGCUGAGCAACUCGGUCUGGGUGCUGAUGCUACAAAGACAGCCGCCAAAUAUGGUGAGAAUAUGAGCAGUAUCAUUUAAUACGUAUACAUAUCAUAUAUCUAUUAUAAGAACCACUACCAUAAAAAGUUUGGGGUCAAUGAGAUGCGUUUUUUUUUUUUUUUUUUUUUUUUUUAAAGAGCCAUAACAGGAAUAAAUUACAUUGUAAAAUAGAAAACAGUUGUUUUCAAUUUUUAUAUUAUUUCACAAUAUGUUUUUUUAAAUAUAGUAUUUUUUUUAAUCAAGUAAAUGGAGUCUGGUUGAGCAUAAGAUACUACUUUUAAAAACAUGACCCCAAACUUUUAAACAGUAGUGUAUGCAUUAAAUCUCUUAUAUCUGCUGAUUAAAUAACUAAAUAAAA